GACUUGACAUAUUUCCUCCCUUCCCCAUUUACCAAGUCAGACUUGACAUAUUUCCUCCCUUCCCCAUUACCAAGUCAGACUUGACAUAUUUCCUCCCUUCCCCAUUUACCAAGUCAGACUUGACAUAUUUCCUCCCUUCCCCAUUACCAAGUCAGACUUGACAUAUUUCCUCCCUUCCCCAUUUACCAAGUCAGACUUGACAUAUUUCCUCCCUUCCCCAUUUAACAAGUCAGACUUGACAUAUUUCCAUCUGGUUUGCAGACAGGAAGGGAAUACCUUUAACACUGAAUGGCUGAGAGGGACAUAACUGUAAACACAUACAGACCUUGGGUCCUCAUGCUCAUGCUGGCAAGGUUCACCAGAGAAGGCCAUCUGAUAAGAACAGUGUGUUUUAUUAACUAGUGAUGUUUGUAGCCUGCUGGUUGUGAGUUCAGAGGGAGAGGUCAAGACUUGUCUCUGUGUACAGGACACUUGAGGGAUCCAACUGAGUUUAUUUUUUUUUCAUUGGUAAGAUGUUAAUCCUAGAUGUAUUGACGUGACUAAGUGGAGCUACACACACACCUCUUUAUGUUUAUAUCAUCUCGUCUCUAUAAUUGAUUUUCUGUCUGUGCGUCUGCUUUGGCAUUUAGAUCCAUAUGAGGUUAGAUGACAUUUUCUUAUUUAAAAGAUAUUGUAGGUGAAACCUUGAAAGCUGGAAGUCAUUGAAUUUGAGCCCAAACAGGCAGGGUUAAGCCUGUCCAAGACCCAGAGUCCCAGAGAGGAUAGUUUAGGGGCUAGUGCCCUGCAGUCUCAAGAAUGCCAACACAGCCCUCGUUCCUCUGCCCUAGCCCUUCUCAAACACAACUCCUCCACCCCAGUUGAAUGCCGACGCGCCCCUUGCCCCUCUCGCCCUCCUCUUGCCCUCCUCUCGCCCCCAAGGCAGCACUAAGCCUCUAAUGGAUGUUUUCCCUGACACCUUGGUGUGACUGACGUCAGACAGGCCUCUCUCUACAACUGUUCUCAUAAACCUCCCUGUUCUCAUAAACCUCCCUGUUCUUUAUCCCACCACCCAGUAGGUAGACACAGACAGAAUCAUCCCACCACCCAGUAGGUAGACACAGACAGAAUCAUCCCACCACCCAGUAGGUAGACACAGACAGAAUCAUCCCACCACCCAGUAGGUAGACACAGACAGAAUCAUCCCACCACCCAGUAGGUAGACACAGACAGAAUCAUCCCACCACCCAGUAGGUAGACACAGACAGAAUCAUCCCACCACCCAGUAGGUAGACACAGACAGAAUCAUCCCACCACCCAGUAGGUAGACACAGACAGAAUCAUCCCACCACCCAGUAGGUAGACACAGACAGAAUCAUCCCACCACCCAGUAGGUAGACACAGACAGAAUCAUCCCACCACCCAGUAGGUAGACACAGACAGAAUCAUCCCACCACCCAGUAGGUAGACACAGACAGAAUCAUCCCACCACCCAGUAGGUAGACACAGACAGAAUCAUCCCACCACCCAGUAGGUAGACACAGACAGAAUCAUCCCACCACCCAGUAGGUAGACACAGACAGAAUCAUCCCACCACCCAGUAGGUAGACACAGACAGAAUCAUCCCACCACCCAGUAGGUAGACACAGACAGAAUCAUCCCACCACCCAGUAGGUAGACACAGACAGAAUCAUCCCACCACCCAGUAGGUAGACACAGACAGAAUCAUCCCACCACCCAGUAGGUAGACACAGACAGAAUCAUCCCACCACCCAGUAGGUAGACACAGACAGAAUCAUCCCACCACCCAGUAGGUAGACACAGACAGAAUCAUCCCACCACCCAGUAGGUAGACACAGACAGAAUCAUCCCACCACUCAGUAGGUAGACACAGACAGAAUCAUCCCACCACCCAGUAGGUAGACACAGACAGAAUCAUCCCACCACCCAGUAGGCAAUGUUUAUCAUAGAAUAAUGUAGCCAGAUACAUUUCCACCUUUUUUCUUGAAAUUGAGCUUUGCAUUUGAACUUUAUACCGGAGAAAAACUACACUGGAGGAAAUGACCUGCUGGUGAUCCAAUGAUGAGCAAAUACACUCCAUCUGAAUGGAGAAGUGCAACGGAAGCACCAAAUGACUCCUUUUACAUUCAUGAUUUGGAGCGAAUCCUGACUGAAGCUGAGCAGAAUUUACAGUAAGAAGCCUUUUAGAUUUGCGUUUACAUAACGCAGCAAGAUGUUUUAUCUGCGUCUCAUCUUUCCCUUUCUGUGUGAAACGCAGAAUCCUGAGUCAACACGACCCCAUGCAGGCAGCGGCAUACAGUCAUACUCCCUCUCUCCAGCUCGGACCCUGAUCACGGACACACCCACAUGUAACUGGUGUGAAAUGGCUCCCUAGUUAGCGGGGUGCGCGCUAGUAGCGUUUCAAUCAGUGACGUAACUCUCUCUGAGACCUUCAAGUAGUUGUUUCCCUUGCUCUAAGGAUUUUGGGGAGCGAUAGGUAAUGAUGCUUUGAGGGUGACUUGUCGAUGAGGGUCCCUGGUUCGAGCCCAGGUAGGGGUGAGGAGAGGGACAGAAACUACACUGUUAGGCACACACAUGUCAAUCAUUCCCAGGGCCCUACCCUGCACACUUCACUCAUUCCCAGGGCCCUACCCUGCACACUUCACUCAUUCCCAGGGCCCUACCCUGCACACUUCACUCAUUCCCAGGGCCCUACCCCGCACACGUCACUCAUUCCCAGGGCCCUACCCCGCGCAAGUCACUCAUUCCCAGGGCCCUACCCCGCGCAAGUCACUCGU